GAUGAACGCUGGCGGCGUGCCUAAUACAUGCAAGUCGAACGGAGAUUGUAGCAAUACGAUCUUAGUGGCGAACGGGCGAGUAACGCGUUGAUGACCUGCCCCGAAGUGUGGGAUAACAGUUCGAAAGGAUUGCUAAUACCGCAUGUGGUCGUUUGGAUUAGAUGCCUUACGACUAAACGGAUUUAUUCGCUUCGGGAGGGCCUGCGUCCCAUCAGCUAGUUGGUAGGGUAACGGCCUACCAAGGCAGUGACGGGUAGGGGACCUGAGAGGGUGGCCCCCCACAAUGGAACUGAAACACGGUCCAUACACCUACGGGUGGCUG
rnacentral:rRNA from 1 species